GACAGGGGGUGCAAACGUUGCUCGGAAUUACUGGGCGUAAAGCGCACGUAGGCGGUCCCGUAAGUCGGGUGUGAAAGCCCUUGGCUCAACCAAGGAACUGCGCCCGAUACUGCGGGGCUUGAGGACGGGAGGGGAGAGUGGAAUUCCUGGUGGAGCGGUGAAAUGCGUAGAUAUCAGGAGGAACACCAGUGGCGAAGGCGACUCUCUGGUCCGUUCCUGACGCUGAGGUGCGAAAGCUAGGGGAGCAAACGGG
rnacentral:rRNA from 1 species